GACGAACGCUGGCGGCGUGCUUAACACAUGCAAGUCGAACGGUAAGGCUCCAGCUUGCUGGGGUACACGAGUGGCGAACGGGUGAGUAACACGUGGGUGACCUGCCCUGCACUUCGGGAUAAGCCUGGGAAACUGGGUCUAAUACCGGAUAGGACCGCACCGUGAGGGUGUGGUGGAAAGUUUUUUCGGUGUGGGAUGGGCCCGCGGCCUAUCAGCUUGUUGGUGGGGUAAUGGCCUACCAAGGCGGCGACGGGUAGCCGGCCUGAGAGGGUGGACGGCCACAUUGGGACUGAGACACGGCCCAGACUCCUACGGGAGGCAGCAGUGGGGAAUAUUGCACAAUGGGCGGAAGCCUGAUGCAGCGACGCCGCGUGGGGGAUGACGGCCUUCGGGUUGUAAACUCCUUUCACCAUCGACGAAGGGUUUCUGACGGUAGAUGGAGAAGAAGCACCGGCUAACUACGUGCCAGCAGCCGCGGUAAUACGUAGGGUGCGAGCGCUGUCCGGAAUUACUGGGCGUAAAGAGCUCGUAGGUGGUUUGUCGCGUCGUCUGUGAAAUUCCGGGGCUUAACUCCGGGCGUGCAGGCGAUACGGGCAUAACUUGAGUACUGUAGGGGAGACUGGAAUUCCUGGUGUAGCGGUGAAAUGCGCAGAUAUCAGGAGGAACACCGGUGGGCGAAGGCGGGUCUCUGGGGCAGUAACUGACGCUGAGGAGCGAAAGCAUGGGGAGCGAACAGGAUUAGAUACCCUGGUAGUCCAUGCCGUAAACGGUGGGCGCUAGGUGUGGGUUUCCUUCCACGGGAUCCGUGCCGUAGCUAACGCAUUAAGCGCCCCGCCUGGGGAGUACGGCCGCAAGGCUAAAACUCAAAGGAAUUGACGGGGGCCCGCACAAGCGGCGGAGCAUGUGGAUUAAUUCGAUGCAACGCGAAGAACCUUACCUGGGCUUGACAUAUACAGGAUCGCGCCAGAGAUGGUGUUUCCCUUGUGGCUUGUAUACAGGUGGUGCAUGGUUGUCGUCAGCUCGUGUCGUGAGAUGUUGGGUUAAGUCCCGCAACGAGCGCAACCCUUGUCUUAUGUUGCCAGCACGUUGUGGUGGGGACUCGUAAGAAACUGCCGGGGUUAACUCGGAGGAAGGUGGGGAUGACGUCAAAUCAUCAUGCCCCUUAUGUCCAGGGCUUCACACAUGCUACAAUGGUCGGUACAGUGGGUUGCCAGUCCGUGAGGGCGAGCUAAUCCCGCAAAGCCGGUCUCAGUUCGGAUCGGGGUCUGCAACUCGACCCCGUGAAGUCGGAGUCGCUAGUAAUCGCAGAUCAGCAACGCUGCGGUGAAUACGUUCCCGGGCCU
rnacentral:rRNA from 1 species